rnacentral:lncRNA from 1 species
UGGUUUUUUUUUUUUUUAAAUAAUUUUAUUUGUUUGUUUUUGGCUGUGCUGGGUCUUUGUUGCUACAUGGGCUUUCUCUAGUUGCCGCGAACAGGGUCUGUUCUCUAGUUGCGGUGAGCGGGCUUCUCACUGCAGUGGCUCCCCUUGUUGCAGAACACAGGCUCUAGGGCACAGGAGGGCUUCAGCGGUUUGCUCUGCGGCAUGUGGGAUCUUCCCAGACCAGGGAUCGAACCUGAGUCUCCUGCACUGGCAGGUGGAUUCUUUACCUCUGAGCCUCUAGGGAAGCCUCUCAAAUGAGGGGAGUGAUACCUUUAGGGGUGCUAUUUCCCUCUGUGCUCAGUCAUUGUAGAGGCUAGCCCUACUCCCCACCCACCACUUUCAUCUUUUCAGUUAGAUGUGUUUUCUUUUAUGAAAUGGUAGGAAGUUGGAGUGGAGGUCAGAGGGUCUUCCUUAGAGCAUUGCAGUAGCCUGGAGGGUGUCUUGCCCAUACAAAAAGGCUCAAAGGAUGUUGCUUAACAAAACAGCCUUUCAAAGAAUAUCCAGAGCCAGAGCAAGGUCCAGACUCCCUGGGGCUGUUUUGGCAUUUCAGCUGCCAUGUCAGAAGAGUGCCCUUGUGGUGCAUAGGGGUCAGUUUUCCUGAAAAACCUGUUCUGGGGACAGAGUCCACCCCAGGGGAGUAGGGAGCUAGGCAGCCAUCCCAGAGUGAGACCCCAUUAAUCUUUGCUCAGCUGAUUGGAAGGGAGCUGAAUAAUCAUUUAUGUGCUCAUUGCGACAGGCACCUGGGCUCCAGGUUGAGACAAGUGGCCUCAGGUAGCCUCGAUAUUAAUGCGGCUCAUUAUGUAGAUUGCUUCACUGGGAGAUGGGAGAUACGCUGCGGCCUUGGGAGUCCCUGCGGGGAAGGCAGGCUUUGUGGGACCCAGCCCUUGGCGCGCUCAUCGAUGCUCUGUCUGGGAAAACCGGGGUGUCCGCGCCAGUUCCUGGAGUGGCUGAUCCUCAUAGCUGCUUUCCCUGUGACAGUCUGCCUCUCCAGGACGAUCCUGGUGUGGCCGCUCACAGAGAGACGGGCCCUCUGGGAAGGAGAAGCUCCGGAGCCAGGCAGGCAGAAAACACUUCCACAAAGCGCAGCACAGGAGGUCCCACACCCAGACUCUGGAGACUGGCUGCAGGUGGAUGGAGCAUGGAACUUGGAGCCCGCAGAACUGGUUCUGGAUCCGGGUCUGGCUUUGGUUCCGGGGCAAAGUCUUGAAAGAUCCCUGGGCUGCAGUCUGCAGUUUGGUAGAAAGGGAUUGUCCUGGAUGCACCUAGGAGACAAUAGACGCAAAUGUGUGUUGGAAACAGGAAAGCUUGUAGUGUCCUCGAACAGUGGGUAAGGGAUC